UGCAGGCGAAACGUCAGGAGAAGAUGCUGCGAGGCCGCAAACCACGCAACACCCCAGUGGCUCCGACCCUCCCCUUCACAUCCCUCAUGGAGUGGGUGUGGCCAUCAUCUGAAGCCCCUCCCCCAAAUGUGGACCCCUUACCCCCCCACACAGGAUCACGGAGACGUCCAAGGUGUCGAUGACUGGCCGCCCAGAGCCCGGCUACGAGAACAUGGACCGCUUCGUCGUCAACGUGGACCACGUGGCCGAGAUGCUGCGGACCAUCCAGUUCCUCCCAGAAUCCACCGGGGAGGAGGCCGAAGCGGAGGGACUGGGACCGGAAGGAGGAGGGGGCGACGCGGGAGAGGAGGGACCCCCGGAAGGCACGAGGCCACCGAGGCCACGGAAGGUGAGCAAGAGCGAGCGGAAGGAGUGGGCGGUGGGGAGAUGGGGGUUCCACGGAGUUACACGGCUUUUCUAUGCUUUGCUUUCAUAGGCUUUUGCUCCUGGUGGUCUUCUAGAAACCUUACUGUGUUUACUGUAUUUCAUUGUGCAAUAGUCACCGUUGCAUCAUAGUCGUACCCCAAUUUUUUGAGUGUCAGAAAUUGUAUUUUUGUUUUCCUCACGUAAUAGUCGCACCCCAUUUUGGGCUGAUUUUCUUCCUUCCUUGGAGGUCUCAAAAGUUCCACUCCCAGUCCUUCCUCCUUUUCCCCGGUGAAAUAGUCACCAUCACAUCAUAGUUGUCCCCCAACUUUUUGAGUGCCAGAAAUAAUAAUUUUGUUUUCCUCACAUAAUAGUCAUGCCCCCAUUUUGGGCUGAUUUUCUUCCUUCCUUGGAGGUCUCAGAAGCUCCACUCCCACUUCUCAUUCCUUUCUCUGGUGCAAUAGUCACCAUCGCAUCAUAGUCACACCCCAACUUUGUGAGUGCCAGAAAUUGUAAUUUCAUUUUCCUCACAUAAUAGUCACACCCCUGUUUAGGGCUGAUUUUCUUCCUUCCUUGGAGGUCUCAGAAGCUCCACUCCCACUUCUCACUCC
rnacentral:lncRNA from 11 species